UGUCGUAGUAGUAUCUCAUUGUCUAAUUGAGAAUAGAUUGUAAAUUUAGAUUUGAAGGGAAGCUUUAGAUUAGCAGUAACCAUUAUUACUGUUCGGUGACCGAUGAAUCAAAAUUUAUGACUUAGUAUUUUGGCAUUUCAGCGUUGUCCGAUGAAUUAAUCGCAGCCGAAAAGGAGACGAAAAAGUUAACAAUGAUCGGAGCUCCGGUGAGUUGGCAUUUCAAUAUUUUUUUAGCAUUGUUUCUUUAGAAAUCUUUGUUGUUUUAGAACUAAGCUUGAAUUUAUGGAUUUUAAGGUUAAUGUAUACUUCUAAUUGACGAUUUUGAGGUAAGAUUGGUGUUUUUCGCUUACUAAAAGUUUAUUUGAACAAAUUUUGGGAGUAGUUUAUGUUUUAAUGAUAAUUUUAGAUAUUCUGAAGAUAUAGGAGUACUUUUAGUUUCACAACCCUAUUGUAAUAGCUUGUUUGGCAUUUUUCGCCCAUUGAAAGUUAAUUUGAACAAUUUAGGAGUAAAUACGACUGAUCAAUUUAUGUUAUUAGUGUUAAAUUUUUGAUAUUUGUUGUGAUAUAGGAGUAGUACAAUUAUUUGCAAUUAUCCUUGUAAAAUACUCCCUCUAUUACCAACCUUCUUGGCAUUUUUCGCAUACUGAAAAUGAAUUUGAACAAUUUUUAGAGCAACUUCGGCUGGAGUGAUAUAUGUUUUUAGAGGUCGUUUAGUUGGGAAUGGGAUAGAAAAAAUUAUCCCAUGGAUUGGGAUAUCCCAUGGGAUAACUUGUCACAUCAUUAUAAUAUAAAUGAUGGGAUAAUUAAUCUUGGGACUAGCUAAUACUUCUAACAAAACAUAGAAUAAAAUAACCCUACAUCGUAUUUCGGGAUUUUUAUCUUUUGGACCCCUUUUGAUUUUUUUCUUGACUGUUUGUUCUUUCCUCCCUCUAUACUUAUUUAUGUUGUGUUUGAUGGAUGUUUCAUAGAUUCGUUGUCCUUGUUGUUGGUAAUGGUAAUUUUCUUAUAGGAUAGUUGUACUUGGAUUGAGUUAAGUUUUACCAGUUGUAUGGGUUGAGUUUUACACUUUUAGCCAUGCCAAAGUCUGAUAUCUUUAUCUAGCAAAAUAUUGCUUGCUUUAUGGUCUCUAUGGAUAAUUCGUAGUUGAGAGUCUUGAUGAAGAUAUGAUAACCUGUGAGCGAUUCCAUUAAUGAUGUCAAACCACUUUGGCCAAUCAAGUAAUUUACUCUUUGUUUUAUCUAUAAAGUAAGUUUUCUUAUUAGUAGCUUCAUUAAUGUUUUGAAUAAUAGAUCAUAGUAUCAAAUCAUCUUAGCUUCUGUAAUAGGUCAGAUAUCAAAACCAAAUAUGUAUAAAUCCAGGCUUUUGUUAGGCAUGUAUUCAUAGAUCAACAUCUUUUCUUCUCCUUGGAUGCAGCAACCCAAAAGUCUCAUAGGAUUUUGGUGUUGAAGCUUGGAAAUAUAGAUAACUUUGUUCUUGUAUUCAUCAAGUCCCUGCAUGGAAGUCCUUGACAACCUCUUUAUUGCAAUUUCUUGUCCCUCUUCCAGCACUCCCUAGAAAUAGAAAAUGUAUUAUAUUAGAACAUAGGUUUUACAAAGACGAGAAUAUUGCAGAUCGAAAAUAAUCUCUAAUACUCUGAUCUUGAGCAUAAACUAGUUACCCUUCCAACAAAUUUACAUUGUAUACCUUGAAAAUAGGUCCAACUCCACCCUCUCCAAUCUUCUGAUUGAAUAAAAAGUUUUUUGUGGAUCUUUCUAUUGUUGAAAAUAGUAACAGUGGAAACUCUAUAUCGUCUCUGAAUUUCAGUUUCUUUUUUUUCCAUCUUUACCACAACCAAAUCAGGAUCAACAGAAUUGUUUCCGUGAAUAAUGAGAAACUAACUGUGAGUAUCUUUUCCUUUUUUCUUAUUGAACCUACCUCAGAUUCUACAGUCAAUUUUUUUGAGUUAGCCACUGUAAAUAAAGACACACCUCUAACUUUUCAUAGUACCAUCUUGUCUGGUGAAAACUAAGUUAAGAAAUUCUUCAGGUGAAAUUUCAUAAACAAGUUCUUAACUUGCUCUGAAGGAUCCAUCUUGAUGAAAAUAUCUAUUCCUCUUUCGGGAAGUUUUCUGAUGUCAAUUAAUUCCCCAUACCAUAAUAAGCAACCUUGAUCUCCAUAGCUUAUAUCUAGACUUGAAUAAGCUGUGCAAGAGCAAUUCCUGGAGCAUACUUUUCUACACUCUUUGAGUGUCAUUGUUUUAUUGUACUGAGAGUCCUUAGUAUUUGGCAACUUGAUUUUAGAAUAUCUUAGAAAUACAUGUUCCCUAUAGCAAUCUAAGGGUGUCCUCCGAACACACCCUUCUAUCCAAUUACCCUUUUCCCAUAUUGUAGAUAUUUAUCUACAAACUUCUCCAAACAUGCACAAAUAGGUUCAUUAUAUUUGUUAUAUCUCCCAUACAUACCACACAAAUAUGUAUCACAAUUGACUGCAGGUAACUUAUAGUGAACCGUCCAUUUCUUUAUUUGAGCCACCCACAUGAAGCAUUGUAUAUCACCAUCAUCGAAAGGUAAGCCUCAUGGAUAGUUUUAAACUUCUUGCUAAGCUUCAUAUCAGGAAAAUGUGUAUCAGUAGAAAAAUGGAAGCUCUGCCAGAGGAGAGCAAGUAUUCUUGCCGCAUUUACCUUUAGUUGUACAUGAUAGGGGUGUGAUAAGUUUGUUUUAUCUCUAUUGAAAAUAGGGGUUUUGGGAGUUUUGAGAGAAUUAUGCAUUACUCUAGGGUGUGAUAAGUUAUUUUUAUAUCUAUUGGGAAUAAUGUAUUUAAAUGAAACCUUUUUAGGUUGCGCGAUCCCAGUUUCAGGUAACUGCUUUCCAUAUUACUACCUUACGUGACACUUGAUAGAACUCCAGUAUACAAUCAUCUAGUGGUGAUUUUAAUUUUCUACAGAUAUAGUUAAUGGUCUAUCUUCUCUUUGAACAACAAUGACCAAGAACAACUGGAGUUUCGAGAUACAUGGAUAAGUAGUAAGCAGUAAAACCAAUUAUUUUACGUCUUCCCAUUUGAAAAAGAGUUUUUUUUUUGGUAUUAUCAGUCAUAACUAAAAUUAGGCUUCUUUAAAUUGAGGUAGGUUUAGGUUUAUUAUGUGAGGUGUUUUUCUAUUCCCAUUAAAUCAACAUCCACAACUAUUGUAAUACCCCAUAUUUCCCUAGCCAAGAUUAACCCUCAAUACAUGGGUUAUCCUAAAUAAUUUUUUUAGAUUACUCAAUAAUUUUUAGAUUAGAACCUGUUAUUACGUUGGAAAUUCAAUUAGGUUUCCAACGAUAUACAAUUUUCCUAAAUCCGACAACCGAGUAAGAAUUUAUAGCGAUUUUAAGUUUCAGUCAUUAAACAUCGUCAUUCAGGCCAGUAGCGCAUCGCGGAGUGUGUCAAUAUAGAAAUUGUCAAUUUCUAGUGUUUCUCCGUGAUAUUGGCACGUUGCGCCGUAGACCCAGUUCACAACUAUCAAUUUCCAGUGUACCAACGCAAUUCCACCGAGUUGUGAUGCACUUCUAGUUCACAAACAAAGUGGUAAUGCGAUACCACCGCGUCGCGCAACCAUGCAAUUUCCCAGUUGUCAUUUUCCAGUGACACAAUGUGAUAGUGCUGUGUCGUGCUAAGGGUCCAAAUUGAGAAAAUUUCACAAAUAAUUAAAGUUGCACCCGGGGUUAAAUCAGUCUUUUCCUAUGAUUUUAUUCUGCCCAGAUGUGAGAUUUAAGCCCUAAAAUCAUUUAAACCCUUUAUUAUUCACUUUCCCCUAAAAUCAAAAGGUAUUUCUCUCUCAAGAAAACAAACCCUAGCUCUCAAGAAUCAAGGUCAAUUCGAAGAAUCUCUCCAAGAACUCCAAGAAUCUCAUGAAUUAAGGUAUGUUAGAUGUUCAUCCAUGGAUCCUUACCUUCCAUGGAGCCUAAGAAUCCUUUUUCCAAAAUAUAAGAUUUAUGAUUUAUGAUUUCCAUUUAUGAAUUAUCUUGAAUUUAUGUUCAUGGUGUUUUUUGAGUUUUAAUCUAUGAUUUAGAUUACAAAUUCCAAGAAUUGAUUCUAGUAUGUGUUGAAUUUCAUGAUAUUCAUGAUAAACCCUUCAAUUUGCAAGUUGAUUGUUGUAACCAUGUUAACUCUAAGUGUUUAUAACUUAAUGAACCAAGUAUGCUUCUUAUGUGUUUGAUAAAUUGUCUAUGAGAAUGAAAUAAUGCCAUUAUAGCAUGCUAACAUAUAUUCCCCAUCCAUGUACAAGUUAAUGCAUUACAAGUGUUUGAUGGAAUGUCUCUGUGAAUGAAUUAUGCCCAAGUGAACAUUGUUAUGUUAUUCAAGAUAAUGCUUUGCUUUACUUUUCAUGUUAUCGAGUCCUAGGGGUAUUUAAUACCCGAUAAUUUAGCUGUUUACCUAGAGCUAGUGGCAAUGACAUAAUAGUAUCUAUCAUGUCAUGAUUAGUAGUACUCUCAGUCAGUAGAAUUCAGGCAGUUAUAAAACUUCGAAAAACUCAGUAAUCUCAGUAUCAAUCCAGUCCUAUUCAGUAUACUCAAUUCAGUGUCUUUUAGUUAGGAGUAGGAACUAGUACCAAGCGAGGGUGGAAGUGAAGACUUCUCUCGUCAGGAAGAUUGAGUCAUUAGUAGUAGUCUCACACUACAGAACUACAUAGCCAGCGUAGGAUGAGAGGAGUCACCCAUUAGAUUAAGGCUUGGCUACCUCUUAGGGGUCAUCCUUCAAAUUAGGCUUGACUUUCUGUUCAGGGUCACCCAUUAGAUAGGCUUGACCAUAAUAAUGUGUUUACCCGUGGCAUGGUACUAGCACCCUUCCAAAUAGGGUUUACUUAGGGGAAUGUCGGUUAAGUGAGAACUUCCACAAUUUCAGUUCCAAUCUCAGUCUUCAAAAUAGAACUCAGUUCAAUUCUACAGAAUCAGAACUGUUAGAUAUAAUCUCUCAGUUAUCAGUAAAUCAGAUUUUUAGUGAUCUCAAAUUAUCAGUAUAUUUAGUUAUCAAUUAUUAGAUUCAGUUCUAGUAUACUCAGUUACAGUAUGCACAGUAUGUUCAGUAGUUACAUAUCCUCCAUGUCUGCUAAUCGAUAUCUUGCAUAUCAUUUAGUUAGUUAUUGUUCAUGUAUAUGAACCCAUGUAUUUUGCCUUAUCUCAUUUAGCAUACCAGUACAUUCCUACGUAUUGAUUGCAUACUCGUUUCUUACACUAUGAUGUUUCAUAUCAUAGGAUCAAACGCUCUGGUUCUUGAU
rnacentral:lncRNA from 1 species